GUAGGUGGCAAGCGUUGUCCGGAAUUAUUGGGCGUAAAGCGCGCGCAGGCGGCCUUUAAGUCUGAUGUGAAAGCCCACGGGCUCAACCGUGAGGGUCAUUGGAAACUGGGGGACUUGAGUACAGAAGAGGAAAGCGGAAUUCCAAGUGUAGCGGUGAAAUGCGUAGAGAUUUGGAGGAACACCAGUGGCGAAGGCGGCUUUCUGGUCUGUAACUGACGCUGAGGCGCGAAAGCGUGGGGAGCAAACAGGAUUAGAUACCCUGGUAGUCCACGCCGUAAACGAUGAGUGCUAAGUGUUAGGGGGUUUCCGCCCCUUAGUGCUGCAGCUAACGCAUUAAGCACUCCGCCUGGGGAGUACGGCCGCAAAGGCUG
rnacentral:rRNA from 1 species